UGUCGUCCCCAUUUCUUCGUUGUUUUUUUUGAGAUGGAGUUUCGCUCUUGAGCCCAGGCUGGAGUGCAAUGGCAUGUUCUCGACUCAGUGUAAACUUGGCCUCCCGGGUUCAAGCGAUUCUCCUGCCUCAGCCUCCCGAGUAGCUGGGAUUACAGGCAUGCGCCACCAUGCCUGGCUAAUCUUGUAUUUUUAGUAGAGACAGGGUUUCUCCAUGUUGGUCAGGCUGGUCUCGAACUCCUGACCUCAGGUGAUCUGCCCACUUUGGCCUCUCAAAGUGCUGGGAUUACAGACGUGAGCCACCACACCCGGCCUGUCAUCCCUAUUUUAAAAAUGACAAAAUUGAGGCUCAGAGAGGUGAAGUGAUUUGCCCAAAACCACACAGCUCAUAAGGGAGGGGCUGUCAUUUGAACCCGAGUCCUGACUCCAGAGCUUGAGGGCUUUGCCCCUCUAUGCCCUACUUGGAUCAUGACUCCUGGAAUCCCAGAAAGGACUUCAGAAUUCUAGGGCACUGGGGCUGGUGGCUUCACUGCCUUGGUCUUGCAGGGGAACUCGGGGACCUGAGAAGUAAAGCACCUUGUCCCUGGGCACAGGCAAGGUAGGUGCAGGGGCAUCCUCCACACGCCUGGCCUCCCCAGGGCUGCCCGGCACCUUCGCUUCCCCUGGGUGCUCACCACCCCGCUAUCUCCGGUCUUGUCUUCCCCACCUGCCACUCCAGGAGCAGUGUAGGGAAAACUGGAACUUAUCAAGACAAAGAACAAAAGUCGUGGAGGAAAGAAGCCAAGAGCCAUCUCCACUGUGGGGUAGGGCCCUUCAGUUUCGCCCCUUUGAAAUUUCAAAUUCCAGUUUGUGGACAAAGUCCUAACUAUCUCACAAUAUAGGUCCCCAACCACUGACCAAACUCCAGUCCAGGCAGCCACCCGGCCCGAGGCUGGCCUGGCCUUGCUGCUUCCUUUAGCGGCUUCCAGGGUCCAGGAACAGGGGGUCUGGGCCACCUAGGGGCUUUGUCACAGCCACAGCCACCCCACAGGACCCCUGUCUCCCACCUGAGAGGACAGCCCUCUUCCUGGAGCUGGGAUCUGGCGCUUGCUGAUACCAACAGCGGAUACCAGGUCUUCAAGAUUUUCUCAUCUCAUCUCCCCAGAGGAGCCACGACAUCAUCUCCUUCCAAAACAAAGUCAGAACCUUCACUGUAGACGGACCAGUGUUCUUCCCCCAAACUCAGUCCAGCUUAUCUCCAGAAAAACUAUAUGACUCGCCCUGGAGAAGAGAAAAAAAAGCCUCUCCCCACCAACUUCACCCCACAAAUCACUGGAUUUGAGGCUGGAGACAGAAGAAUUGAACGUGUGCUUAAGUUUCAAAUUGACUAUUGUUUUAUGUGAAUGUCUGAUAAAGAAAAUACAAUGGCUGCCAGCUGGGGGCUGGGAGUGAGAUUUCCCAUGCGGAGAAUUCUAAAAGACGUGCCUGGAGUUCUGGAGUCUGGAUCCUCUGGACAGACAGGUGGAGACACCAAAGGUAAUUGUGGGGUGGGGAGAAGACAUCAACCCAAGAGAUUUGACUGCGUUUGGUCUAUGCAAGAAUGGAAAAUGGAGGCAGAAUGAGUUAGCAGCAAGCUUGUAUGCUGCUGUAGAAUCCAAGGGGCUUGGCCAGUGCCGGCCAAUCAAAGUAGAACGUGAGCCACAGACAAUUUACGCCGUUCUUGUAGUUGCUUAAAAACAUGGUAAAUCUAUGAAACAGAAAGAUUGUUCAUGCAGGUAAAUGAACUUCUCUUUGGUCUCAGUGAUCAGGGAUCCCAAAUUCAAUCGCCCUCAAUACCCAAAGAAGUAACUGAAAUAAGUGGAACAGAUAGGGUGUGAGCAAAGUUCACACAUUCCCAUAAGAAAAGCUAUGCAGCAAACAUAUUGAUGUAUGUUCAUUAAUAAGUUUCAGUGUGGGGACACUAAGGCAUAGUGGAGACUAUGGCAAAUCAGAGGAAGCUGCGUAUCUAAAGUAGCUCCCGGAGAUUGCUGCUUCAUGGGGUAUCAGUGUUGCUAGAGCUUUCACUUUUUUGAAAGGAGGUGAAAGUUGGAAUUUUUUUUUUUUUUUUUGACGGGGUUUUGCUCUGUCAUCCAGGCUGGAGUACAGUGGCAUGAUCUUGGCUCAUUGCAACCUCCACCUCCUGGGUUCAAGAGAUUCUUCUGCCUCAGCCUCCUGAGUAGCUGGGACUACAGGCAGGUGCUGCCAUGCCUGGCUAAUUUUUGCAUUUUUAGUAAAGAUGGGAUUUCACCAUGUUGGCAAAGCUGGUCUCGAACUCCUGAUCUCAUGAUCCACCUGCCUCAGCCUCCCAAAGUGCUGGGAUUACAGGCAUGAGCCACAGUGCCUGACCCCUAGUUUUUUUAAAAUUUAAUCUUUAAAAUGAGAUUGCACCACUGCAAACCAGGCUGGGCGACCGACGGAGACUCCAUCUCAAAAACAAAAACACAAAAACACAAAAACACCUAGGCGGAAUGGAUCUUCACCUCUGGUCUCCUUUAAACCCUUGACCAUGUUUAAAAGAGGAGGAAACUGAGGUUCGGAGUGGUUAAAUACAUUCCCAUCUCAAAGAAGAUCAAGAACUGUCUCUUUAGGUUUCUAUUCCAGGUCAUUUCUGCUAUGAAAUAAAACAAACAUGGAGUUUU